UGCCAGCAGCCGCGGUAAUACGAAGGGACCUAGCGUAGUUCAGAAUUACUGGGCUUAAAGAGUUCGUAGGUGGUUGAAAAAGUUAGUGGCGAAAUCCCAGAGCUUAACUCUGGAACUGCCAUUAAAACUUUUCAGCUAGAGUAUGAUAGAGGAAAGUAGAAUUCCUAGUGUAGAGGUGAAAUUCGUAGAUAUUAGAAAGAAUACCAAUUGCGAAGGCAGCUUUCUGGAUCAUUACUGACGCUGAGUAACGAAAGCAUGGGUAGCGAAGAGGAUUAGAUA
rnacentral:rRNA from 1 species